CCGUCUUGAAACACGGACCAAGGAGUCUAACAUGUGCGCGAGUCACUCGGUCUUGAAUAGGCCAGAGAGGCGCAAUGAAAGUAAAGUUGAUUGAGUUACGAUCCUCAUGCCCAGUUACUCGCAUUCGUGUGAGUAACGGUGAGGCGCAGUAACAGCCCGCCAAUUUCGCUUAUUGACGAUCUGGCGGAGUUGUAGCGUACACGUUGGUACCCGAAAGAUGGUGAACUAUGCCUGGGCAAGACGAAGCCAGAGGAAACUCUGGUGGAGGUCUGUAGCGAUUCUGACGUGCAAAUCGAUCGUCAGACCUGGGUAUAGGGGCGAAAGACUAAUCGAACCAUCUAGUAGCUGGUUCCUUCC
rnacentral:rRNA from 1 species